CAGAGCCAUAGAGAGAAAGAGUUGCAACACUCCCAUUGGACUCCGUUGUACGCUUUUUGCCGCCUACUUGCGGGGUAUGCAGCCUCGCGUAGUUCCAAAAAGCCAUUCUAUGGCGUUGGACAUCAUUCACUUCCAUUGCUGACUGUCGAGUAACUUCUGAGGUAAGUUGAUUAAAUAGCUACCUGUUUUGAAUUGUCAACUGUCUAUAUUGUAUCAUAGGCCCUUUAUGAUGCAUAUACUGAUCUUUUGUUGUAUGUACACAGCGUAAUUAUAUAUAUUUUUUUUUUAUCUUGGUAGACGACCGAUUGCCGGCUAGUUUGUUAGCUUGACUUGCCUUCUGUGAAGGUAACGUUAUAUCCAGGGGUAAAUUGAUUAAAUAGCUACCUCUUUUGAACUGUCAACUGUCUAUAUUUUAUCAGAGGCCCUUUAUGAUGCAUAUACUGAUCUUUAUUUGUAUGUACACAGCGUAAUUAUAUAUAUGUUUUAUCUUGGUAGACCACCGAUUGCCUGCUAGUUUGUUAGCUUGACUUCGCCCUCUGUAAAGGUAACGUUAACGUUAUAUCCAGGCGUAAAUUGAUUAAAUAGCUACCUCUUUUGAAUUGUCAACUCUGUAUAUUAUAUAAAUAGGCCCUUUAUGGUGCAUAUGCUUAUAUUUAUUUGUAUGUGCACAGUGCAAUUUAUAUAUAUUUUCUUAACUUGGUAGACAACCGAUUUUCAGUCAUUGCCUGCUACUUAGUUAAGUUAUCUCGAUUUUGCGAGCUGUGAAGAAGGUAUCGCUACACCAAAAAUUACGAAGUUCAGUAGUGAAUCUCUGACAUAUUUUAUUUAGUAAAUUAUUGAUGUUAGAUUACUAGGAUCUUUAAGGUUGAUUAAGGACGUUUUUUUUUAGGUUGUAUCUGCUGAACCUGGCGGUGUUAGCUAGUCAGCUGAGUACUGUGUAUCUGAUGCUAGUAGAAAUAAGGCGGCUGCUGCUGGAGGCGAUGACUGCUUGAGCUGGCUGGUGUUGGAGAAGGAUGGUGAUGGCGGCUGCUGCUGGUAAUGGUGGCUGUUGCUGCUGGUGGCGGCUGCUGGUAAUGGUGGUGGCUGCUGCUGGUAGCUGCUACUGCUGGUGGCGGCUACUGCGGCUGCUGCUGGUGGCGGCUGCUGGUAAUGGUGGCUGGUGCUGGCCAUGGCUGCUGGUGGUGUCUGUCCAUUGUUGAAUCUAUUGUCGCCCUAUUUCACUUUAUCUGCUUUUUAGUGUCCAGGACACAGAUGAAGAGGAUGUUAAUAUGCUUUGUCGAGAGGAACUGCCCUGCAGUGACUGGCCAUAGUGUAUAGUGGAACUCCACAGGUGUGAGUCUGAUGUAUGCAAGAGAAAGUAUUUUCUAGGCAGUUUGUGCCCGUCUCAACAGAUCUUGCUGGACCACCAGUAUCGUUGUUGUGGCCACUGUACGUAUGUUUGUUGAUAUUAUUCAUGCUUGUUCCUUGUUCCCAUUUUUUUUUGUUCCACACUGUUCAUUUUUAUCUUAUGCCAGGUACUUUUAUUAUGAAUGUUGUCCUUCCUUUCAGCCCUGAUGCACUCUGAAGCCUGAUUUGUGGAGGAUUUUUUUUAAAUGUAUAAAUCACUUAUAAUAUUCCUCCCUGUUCCUUCACUUUGUUCUUGUUUUUCCAGUUAGAUACACACAUUUACACACACACACACACACAUCUUGUUGUCUCACUCAGUAUUUUUUAUUAAACAAUAUUUGAUUCAUUCA